rnacentral:rRNA from 1 species
AGAAUCAACGCUGGCGGCGUGCCUAACACAUGCAAGUCGCACGAGAAAGGGACUUCGGUCCUGAGUACAGUGGCGCACGGGUGAGUAACACGUGAAUUAUCUACCUCCGAGUGGGGAAUAACUGAGAGAAAUCUUAGCUAAUACCGCAUAACACUUACGAGUCAAAGCAGCAAUGCGCUUGGAGAGGAGUUCGCGGCAGAUUAGUUAGUUGGCGGGGUAAUGGCCCACCAAGACGAUGAUCUGUAUCCGGCCUGAGAGGGCGCACGGACACACUGGAACUGAAACACGGUCCAGACUCCUACGGGAGGCAGCAGUGGGGAAUUUUGCGCAAUGGGGGAAACCCUGACGCAGCAACGCCGCGUGGAGGAUGAAAUAUCUUGGUAUGUAAACUCCUUUCGAUGGGGAAGAUAAUGACGGUACCCAUAGAAGAAGCCCGGCUAACUUCGUGCCAGCAGCCGC